rnacentral:rRNA from 1 species
UACGUAGGCAGCAAGCGUUGUUCGGAGUUACUGGGCGUAAAGAGUCUGUAGGCGGUGCUCUAAGUUUGGUGUGAAAUCUCCCGGCUUAACCGGGAGGGUGCGCCGAAGACUGGGGUGCUGGAGUCUGGGAGAGGAAAGCGGAAUUCCUGGUGUAGCGGUGAAAUGCGUAGAUAUCAGGAGGAACACCGGUGGUGUAGACGGCUUUCUGGAUCAGUACUGACGCUGAGAGACGAAAGCGUGGGGAGCAAACAGG